rnacentral:rRNA from 1 species
AGCAGCCGCGGUAAUUCCAGCUCCAAUAGCGUAUAUUAAAGUUGUUGCAGUUAAAAAGCUCGUAGUUGAAUUUCGGGAUCAAGGAAUCGGUCAUGCCUUGGUAUGUACUGGUUUUAUUGGUUCUCACCUUCUAAAGAACCAUGAUGUCAUUCAUUUGAUGUUAUGGGGAAUUAGGACUGUUACCUUGAAAAAAUUAGAGUGUUUAAAGCAAGCUUACGCUUGAAUACAUUAGCAUGGAAUAAUGAAAUAGGACGUUUGAUUCUAUUUUGUUGGUUUCUAGGAUCGACGUAAUGAUUAAUAGGGAUAGUUGGGGGCAUUAGUAUUCAAUUGUCAGAGGUGAAAUUCUUGGAUUUAUUGAAGACUAACUACUGCGAAAGCAUUUGCCAAGGAUGUUUUCAUUAAUCAAGAACGAAAGUUAGGGGAUCGAAGACGAUCAGAUACCGUCGUAGUCUUAACCAUAAAC